rnacentral:rRNA from 1 species
UGUAUAGUUAAUCUGCCCUUCAGAGGGGAAUAACUACUGGAAACGGUAGCUAAUACCCCAUACUCCUUUUACCUUAAUGGUAAUUGGGAAAUGUCUUUUCGCUGAAGGAUGAGACUAUAUGGUAUCAGGUAGUCGGUGGGGUAAGAGCCUACCAAGCCAAUGACGCCUAGCUGGUCUGAGAGGAUGAUCAGCCACACUGGAACUGAGACACGGUCCAGACUCCUACGGGAGGCAGCAGUGGGGAAUAUUGCACAAUGGAGGAAACUCUGAUGCAGCAACGCCGCGUGGAGGAUGACGCAUUUCGGUGUGUAAACUCCUUUUAUAUGGGAAGAUAAUGACGGUACCAUAUGAAUAAGCACCGGCUAACUCCGUGCCAGCCGCUGCGG